rnacentral:lncRNA from 1 species
GCCGGCCUGUGAUUGGCGGAGGCCGCAGUGAAUGCGGGACAUUGUCUGGCCGCGGCCUCGGUCCGGCCGGCCGCCCGCCCUCCGCGUGGAAGGCUGCCCGCGGCCCGCGUCCUUCCAGCGGAGGGAACGCCUGGUGCGAAAACGUUACUCUUGGGAGAUCACGGAUUCUGAGAACGGCCCGCAAAGGUGCCGUUUCUAAACACAGAAUCGCCCUCAACAGGGAAAUGAAAUGAUACGGUUUCCUUUAAACUGAGAGGAAAAAUACUGAGGUAAUUGAAAAGGACCAACUGUCAUAAAAGCGGCAGAGUGAGAGCCCUCAAGACUCCUUUCAUUGGGGUCCAUGACGGUCCUUCUGAGUGUCCUCUGUAAGAUUUAAAGUAAAAAUAACCAUGCGUCUCCCCCUUCGUUUCCGUGUGUGUGAAGAAGGCGCUAGACUGGUUAGCUCUCCAGGCUCGCCCCGUCGUCAGGCGCUGUUUCUCUCCGAUUCUAGACUUCCAGUCUCCAGGCAGCCUGUGUGUUGGGUCAUACCUCAAGGCCCUGGAACAGAUGAAACCUUUUCAACCGCCUCGAGGAGGUAAUGGACCAUUACGAGAAAGCAUAAGCGUCCUCCCCAUUUUGUUGCCAACAUCAAAAGAGCAGAAAGAUGGUAAAACGGAAGACACACCUGAAAUAAGAGGCACGUGGAAAAUGUUUGGAAAGUUUUGAAGAAAAUUAACUUGGUAUUUGCUUUUCAAGAAACUAGAUAGGAAAAAAUUAUUGUAAAGUUAAAAGCAGAGAGUGUUGAA